rnacentral:rRNA from 1 species
UAGUGAGGGGUUUACAUAUUGGGUUGAAUCUAGUAAACCGAGAUCCGCUUUGGAGAUAAGCAGGGGGGUGAAGGCCAUGUGACCUAGGCAAAGGACCAGGAUUAGAUACCCUGUUACUCUAGGCGUUAAGUACGAGCCAGUUUAGUGGUUCUGCCGGGCAACUACGUUCUAACGAGUAAAAGCCAAAGUACCUGGCGGUUUAAGACAUCUCGUCUCGCGAGACUUGACGGUUAAUCCGAUAAUCCGCGUUACACCUUACCCGUUUUGGAAUUUGGUGACAGUUGGUGUAUGGUCGUUGUCAGCUUCUGUCGUGAGACACCUAGAAAGUAAGCAUAACUCGUUGGAACCCCCGGUAUUACAAGGGGGUGGACUGUGAAAUGCAGAGUUUAGAACGAAUGAAGUCAGAUCGUUAUGCCGCCGAAAAAUGGGGCUUAGUUGAGUCACACUGAUUAGAUUAAACGGAAGUCCUCUUGAAAUAGGGGGCGGAAGAAGGAGUGAGUAGUAGUGGGAAAUUAGUACGUUCCUGCGAAUAGUAAAUUCUUAAGUGUACAUAUCGCCCGUCGCCUCCGGGGAGACUUGGAGAAAGUCGUAACAUAGUAG